rfam:Salmo salar isolate Sally breed double haploid chromosome ssa13, whole genome shotgun sequence.
UGCACGCAUGACUGUAAGUCGCUUUGGCUAACAGCGACUGCUAAAUGGCAAAUA